rnacentral:rRNA from 1 species
CCUACGGGUGGCAGCAGUGGGGAAUAUUGCACAAUGGGGGAAACCCUGAUGCAGCAACGCCGCGUGAGUGAAGAAGUAUCUCGGUAUGUAAAGCUCUAUCAGCAGGGAAGAAAAUGACGGUACCUGACUAAGAAGCCCCGGCUAACUACGUGACAGCAGCCGCGGGAAUACGUAGGGGGCAAGCGUUAUCCGGAUUUACUGGGUGUAAAGGGAGCGUAGACGGUGUGGCAAGUCUGAAGUGAAAGCCCGGGGGUCAACCCCGGGAGUGCUUUGGAAACUGUCAUGCUGGAGUGCUGGAGAGGUAAGCGGAAUUCCUAGUGUAGCGGUGAAAUGCGUAGAUAUUAGGAGGAACACCAGUGGCGAAGGCGGCUUACUGGACAGUAACUGACGUUGAGGCUCGAAAGCGUGGGGAGCAAACAGGAUUAGAUACCCCGGUAGUC